rnacentral:rRNA from 1 species
AACGAACGCUGGCGGCAUGCCUAACACAUGCAAGUCGAACGAGACCUUCGGGGCUAGUGGCGCACGGGUGCGUAACGCGUGGGAACCUGCCCUUAGGUUCGGAAUAACUCCCCGAAAGGGGUGCUAAUACCGGAUAAUGUCUUCGGACCAAAGAUUUAUCGCCUUUGGAUGGGCCCGCGUUGGAUUAGCUAGUUGGUAGGGUAAAAGCCUACCAAGGCGACGAUCCAUAGCUGGUCUGAGAGGAUGAUCAGCCACACUGGGACUGAGACACGGCCCAGACUCCUACGGGAGGCAGCAGUGGGGAAUAUUGGACAAUGGGCGAAAGCCUGACCCAGCCAUGCCGCGUGAGUGAUGAAGGCCUUAGGGUUGUAAAGCUCUUUUACCCGGGAUGAUAAUGACAGUACCGGGAGAAUAAGCUCCGGCUAACUACGUG